AGAGUUUGAUCCUGGCUCAGGAUGAACGCUAGCUAUAGGCUUAACACAUGCAAGUCGAGGGGAAACGGCAUUAUGUGCUUGCACAUUUUGGACGUCGACCGGCGCACGGGUGAGUAUCGCGUAUCCAACCUGCCCUUUACUUGGGGAUACCCCGUUGAAAGACGGCCUAAUACCCGAUGUAAUUCAUUGAUGGCAUCAGAUAUGAAUAAAAGAUUUAUCGGUAAAGGAUGGGGAUGCGUCUGAUUAGCUUGUUGGUGAGGUAAAGGCUCACCAAGGCAACGAUCAGUAGGGGUUCUGAGAGGAAGGUCCCCCACAUUGGAACUGAGACACGGUCCAAACUCCUACGGGAGGCAGCAGUGAGGAAUAUUGGUCAAUGGGCGAGAGCCUGAACCAGCCAAGUAGCGUGCAGGAUGACGGCCCUAUGGGUUGUAAACUGCUUUUGUAUGGGGAUAAAGUCAGUCACGUGUGAUUGUUUGCAGGUACCAUACGAAUAAGGACCGGCUAAUUCCGUGCCAGCAGCCGCGGUAAUACGGAAGGUCCAGGCGUUAUCCGGAUUUAUUGGGUUUAAAGGGAGCGUAGGCCGUGGAUUAAGCGUGUUGUGAAAUGUAGAUGCUCAACAUCUGACUUGCAGCGCGAACUGGUUUACUUGAGUGUGCGCAACGUAGGCGGAAUUCGUCGUGUAGCGGUGAAAUGCUUAGAUAUGACGAAGAACUCCGAUUGCGAAGGCAGCUGACGGGAGCGCAACUGACGCUUAAGCUCGAAGGUGCGGGUAUCAAACAGGAUUAGAUACCCUGGUAGUCCGCACAGUAAACGAUGGAUGCCCGCUGUUGGUCCAUUAGGGUCAGCGGCCAAGCGAAAGCAUUAAGCAUCCCACCUGGGGAGUACGCCGGCAACGGUGAAACUCAAAGGAAUUGACGGGGGCCCG
rnacentral:rRNA from 1 species